CCUACGGGAGGCUGCAGUGGGGAAUAUUGGACAAUGGGCGCAAGCCUGAUCCAGCCAUACCGCGUGGGUGAAGAAGGCCUUCGGGUUGUAAAGCCCUUUUGUUGGGAAAGAAAUCCUAUCGGUUAAUAACCGGUGGGGAUGACGGUACCCAAAGAAUAAGCACCGGCUAACUUCGUGCCAGCAGCCGCGGUAAUACGAAGGGUGCAAGCGUUACUCGGAAUUACUGGGCGUAAAGCGUUCGUAGGUGGUGUGAAAGCCCUGGGCUCAACCUGGGAAUUGCAGUGGAUACUGGAUCACUAGAGUGUGGUAGAGGGAUGCGGAAUUUCUGGUGUAGCAGUGAAAUGCGUAGAGAUCAGAAGGAACAUCCGUGGCGAAGGCGGCAUCCUGGGCCAACACUGACACUGAGGCACGAAAGCGUGGGGAGCAAACAGGAUUAGAUACCCUGUAGUC
rnacentral:rRNA from 1 species